AGUGAACGCUGGCGGUAGGCCUAACACAUGCAAGUCGAACGGCAGCACAGUAAGAGCUUGCUCUUACGGGUGGCGAGUGGCGGACGGGUGAGGCAUACAUCGGAAUCUACUUUUUCGUGGGGGAUAACGUAGGGAAACUUACGCUAAUACCUCAUACGACUUACGGGUGAAAGCAGGGGAUCUUCGUACCUUGCGCGAUUGCAUGAGCCGAUGUCGGUUUAGAUAGUUGGCGGGGUAAAGGCCCACCAAGGCGACGAUCCGUAGCUGGUCUGAGAGGAUGAAGAGCCAAACGGGAAAUGAGAAACGGUCCAAACCCCUAAGGGAGGCAGAAGUGGGGAAGAUUGGACAAUGGGGGCAAGCCUGAACAAGACAUACCGGGGAGGUGAAAAAGGCCUUCGGGUUUAAAAGCCCGUUUGUUGGGAAAGAAAAGGAGGAGGUUAAAGACCCGAUGAUCUGAAGGUAACCAAAGAAUAAGGAACGGCUAACUUCGUG
rnacentral:rRNA from 1 species